AUUGAACGCUGGCGACAUGCCUUACACAUGCAAGUCGAACGGCAGCACGGGUGCUUGCACCUGGUGGCGAGUGGCGAACGGGUGAGUAAUACAUCGGAACAUGUCCUGUAGUGGGGGAUAGCCCGUCGAAAGCCGGAUUAAUACCGCAUACGAUCUACGGAUGAAAGCGGGGGCCCUUCGGGCCUCGCGCUUUAGGGUUGGCCGAUGGCUGAUUAGCUAGUUGGUGGGGUAAAGGCCUACCAAGGCGACGAUCAGUAGCUGGUCUGAGAGGACGACCAGCCACACUGGGACUGAGACACGGCCCAGACUCCUACGGGAGGCAGCAGUGGGGAAUUUUGGACAAUGGGCGAAAGCCUGAUCCAGCAAUGCCGCGUGUGUGAAGAAGGCCUUCGGGUUGUAAAGCACUUUUGUCCGGAAAGAAAUCCUUGGCCCUAAUACGGUCGGGGGAUGACGGUACCGGAAGAAUAAGCACCGGCUAACUACGUG
rnacentral:rRNA from 1 species